ACAGGUAAAGUUCCAGUCACUACCUGGUAAGUCUCUACAGGUAAAGUUCCAGUCAGUACCUGGUAGGUCUCUACAGGUAAAGUUCCAUUCAGUACCUGGUAGGUCUCUACAGGUAAAGUUCCAUUCAGUACCUGGUAGGUCUCUACAGGUAAAGUUCUAGUCAGUACCUGGUAAGUCUCUACAGGUAAAGUUCCAGUCAGUACCUGGUAGGUCUCUACAGGUAAAGUUCCAGUCAGUACCUGGUAGGUCUCUACAGGUAAAGUUCCAGUCAGUACCUGGUAGGUCUCUACAGGUAAAGUUCCAGUCAGUACCUGGUAGGUCUCUACAGGUAAAGUUCUAGUCAGUACCUGGUAGG